AUGCAAGCUUUAAAGAACUUUUUAAAAAACCCAACAAUUUCAAUAGUAGAAACAUGCAAAACACUUAAAGAAAUCAACCAAAUUCAUACUCAAUUAUUAGUUAAGGGUUUUGCAAAUGACCCAGAACUUGUAUCCAAAUUUGCUGCAUCAAUUGCACUAAAACACUCACACAAUAUUCAUUAUUCUGUAAAAAUUUUAGACCAAUGUGAAAAUCCUUCUCUUUUUGCAUUAAAUUCCCUCAUCAGGGUUUACUCAAAAUCUUCAAAUCCUGAAAAAAGUUUACAUUUUUAUAAAAAGAUUUUACAUUUUAAUAAGAGCCCAGAUAAUUAUACAUUUACAUUUUUAAUAAAGUCUUGUGUGAGGUUGGCUUUUGUUAAAGAUUUAGGCUUGGCUGUGCAUGGGUCUGUGUUGAAAUAUGGGUUGGAUAAUGACCCACAUGUUCAAAGUGGGUUGGUUAAUUUAUAUGCUGAAAUGGGGUUGUUAAGGGAGUUAAAAGAUUUUUUUGAGGAUAUAAAUAAAGCGGAUUUGAUUACGCAAACUGCGAUGGUGGUUGCUUGUGCUAGAUUGGGAGAUACUGAUUUUGCACGCCAAGUGUUUGAUGAAAUGCCCGAGAGAGAUGUGGUGGCGUGGAAUGCGAUGAUAGCGGGGUAUGUUAAGGCUGGGGAAUCCUUGGAGGGUUUGCAAUUGUUUUUUGAGAUGGAGAGGUUGGGUUUGAAAGUUAAUGAGGUGUCAAUGGUUUCCGUGUUGUCUGCUUGUUCGCAGUUGAGUGAUUUGAAUACUGGCCGUGAUGCACAUAGGUAUAUAGAGGAAGAAAGGCUAAGAAUUGACUUGACUUUAGGGAGUGCGCUUGUUCAUAUGUAUGCAAAGUGUGGGGAUAUUGAUAUGGCGAUGGAUGUAUUUUGGGGGAUGAAAGAGAAGAACGUUUAUACGUGGAGUUGUGCCAUGGGAGGAUUAGCGAUGAAUGGAAAUGGCGAGAAGUGUCUUGAGCUCUAUAAACUUAUGUUGCAAGAAGGGAUCCAGCCAAAUGAGGUUACAUUUACAUCGGUCUUAAAAGGUUGUUGUGUGUUGGGCUUGGUUGAAGAAGGUUUAAAGCAUUUUCAAUCUAUGAUAAAAGAGUAUGGUAUCGAACCUCAAGUCGAGCAUUAUGGAUGUAUGGUUGAUUUAUAUGGUCAAUCCGGACGCUUAGAUGACGCCUUAAAGUUCAUCUAUAGCAUGCCAUUUCCAGCCCAUAUGGAAGCUUGGGGAGCUCUGCUGAACGCUAGCAAAGUACAUAACAAUGUAGAGUUGGCUGAACUUGCUUCUAGUAAGAUGGUUGAACUAGAAACAAAGAAUGAUGGUGCAUACGUGCAAUUGUCAAAUGUUUAUGCUGAUAUCAACAAGUGGGAUAGUGUUGAUGGCGUGAGGCACACAAUGAAGUCACAAAGGGUUGCUAAGGUCCCUGGUGUUAGCACAAUAGACAACAAUAGUAAUUGGGGAAAUAUAGUUACUGGGUAGAAUACUAACAAUAGUUUACUUCUCUUUGCAUGCCUGGCAGUACCUAGGGUGCUGCACAUUUUUGCGUUUGUAGGAAAGAAGAGUAACAAAUUGAUUAGUACAAACAAAAACUAGAAAAGGAAAUUUCCCAAUACGAAGAAGACAUUAGCCCUUAUAAAUUUAGACAACAUAAUGCUAGCUAAGUGGGAGUGGAUAUCAACACACAGGGAAAUCUGGUGGCGGUUUCUCCAAUUUCUGCAGUGGCCCAGCCCCAUCUUCUACAAUAAACACUGUGGCCAAACCCCAGCCAAUGUGAACAUCCAAGUGGCAGUGCAUAAUCCAGGUCAAAGUGGUGAAGUAAAAAUGUCAGCUUAAGAGGAAACGGGUCGAACUGUUUUGAAAUUGCUCAUAAUGUAUUAUCGUUCUUAUGUAUAACAUCCUAUAUCAUUUUUCUUCAAAAUAUUAGAUUCUACUUUAUAUACUCAAAAAGUUUCAAUAUUUUGACAAGAAGUGUUUUUUAACCACACAUGAACUAUUUUGACCCGUAUCCCUUUUUCACCAAACCUGUCUUCACCCAUUACCCAACCCGCUUGAUCCAAUGUGGGAGCUUCCCAUACUUACCAGGAUUAUCAGCCACAAAUCUAAUGACUGCCCAUCCUUUGACUGGUAAGCUAACUGUAUUUCUGAGAGGUGGAUCCACGAGGUUGAAUUUUGCAGUGUCAGUUUUUGGGUUAAAGUUUCCAAAUCCUUCUGCAAGUAUAUAGAAAUCAUAUCCAUGAAGAUGGAUUGGGUGGUUCUCAGCAGUGAAGAUAUUUGUACCUUGCAACACUAUCUGCACCCUUGACCCGUAUUUCAUCUUGUAGACCUUAGUUCCACGAAUAGGCUGCCAUAAAGACCUGCUUACAUUACCAGUAUAAUCAAAGACAACCGGAGGUUUGGCUGGGAAGUCAGUGGUGAAAACACCCGGGAUUCCUUGGUGAUAUGCCUGAAGUAUGGAGUAAUUGGACGGGAGUGCAAAAGAUACGUUGUUCAUGCUAGCAGUGAAACGGGUCCCAUUGGGGGCCUGACAGUUUCUAGCACGGGUCUUUGGCGGGCAUUGGUUGAUUCCAAGCCCAGCAGUGAUAAAAAGAUUGUGAUCAAUUUCGGUGGGAACAAGUGAUUUUUCGAGACUUCUGAAGCUGGUGGUGAAGGCGGUGGCAGUUGCAGUGUCAUUGUAUGCUGGAAGAGGUGGCAUAAUGGGCUUGGAUGUUGCGUUUUUGUACUCCAAGAUGGCGGUGGUGGUCGUAUUAUCAAAAGGAGCACCUUGUGCGCUGGCAUAAGCUCUCGCAGCAAUGUAGUAUCUGCCCGGUGGCUGGUCAGCCUUGAUGAGUACAUCUGUGGUUUGACCUGGUCCAAGCAUGAGGACUUUGGUGGUGAAUGGUUUUACAUAAGAUGCGUCGGCUCCUACCACAUUUGGGAGAAAUGAAGGAACCAAUAUGUUUUAUAGAAGCAAACCUUUGCUAGAGCAUUUGUAGAGAUCCCCAGGUUGUCCAUUGAUGGUGUAAGCAUCAGAAACAUUUGGAGCUGCUCCAGUUCUUGUGGCUUCUCUUAUUACAUCUAUCGGGUUAGCAUCCCACCAUUCACCUGAUCAUCAUAAUAACCUUAAUGUCAGGUAUAUCAAUUUUAAUUAUUGUAAAAUGCACAUUAGCUAUGUGAAUAAGUUAUAUACCAAGAGCAAUGACCGAUU